rfam:Nosema ceranae BRL01 Nc004762, whole genome shotgun sequence.
CACCAGGUUGAUUCUGCCUGACGUAGACGCUAUUCCCUAAGAUUAACCCAUGCAUGUUUUUGACAUUUGAAAAAUGGACUGCUCAGUAAUACUCACUUUAUUUUAUGUAAAUUUUUGAUUAAUUAACUACGUUAAAGUGUAGAUAAGAUGUUUACAGUAAGAGUGAGACCUA